GAUGAAGAACGUAGCGAAAUGCGAUAAGUAAUGUGAAUUGCAGAAUUCAGUGAACCAUCGAAUCUUUGAACGCACAUUGCGCCCGGCAGUAAUCUGCCGGGCAUGCCUGUCCGAGCGUCAUUUCUGCCCUCGAGCGAGUUCCAGCAUCUAGGUGCUGGUGCUCGCCCGGCGUUGGGGCACUACGGUAGAGCCCUGUGCUGUCCGUAGGCCCUGAAAUGAAGUGGCGGUCCUGCCGCGGCGCCCCCUGCGUAGUAUAACAGCUCGCUUCGGGACCCGGUGGAGGCCAGCCGUCAAACCUAUAUUCUCUAAGUUUGACCUCGGAUCAGGUAGGGUUACCCGCUGAACUUAAGCAUAUCAAUAAGCGGAGGA
rnacentral:misc_RNA from 1 species